AGGACGAUGUGUGUUUGGAAAUAAUUUUCCAUCAGCUCCAAGCUGAAGUGAACUUCAGUGUCUUACUUUGGAGGAAGUCAAGUACUAUGAUGAAAAUAACAAAUGGAAAUUGAGUAUAAUUUAUCACUAAAUAGGCCGACAUGUGGAAAGAUCCCUCCAGGCUCUUACGAAAGCAGGUGGCCUGGAUUCAGAGUGCAGAGGACGGCAGCAGAGGGAACAGGGAGCCAGGACCUUGCCUGUCCUUGAAGGAAGCUCAGGAAGCUGGGCCACCCAGCAGUUUUCCUCUGUUCAUCAUACACCUGCCACCGAGGCUGCUCCCAACCUGGGGUGAGCAUCUCGGACCCUGAGGGUCAAGGCGUACAGGAUGGAGGACCAAGGGACCCAAGCUUGAGAAGGAUUUGUUUGAAGCACCUCCAUGAUCUGUGGCUUCCAGUUCUUCUGUCUGCAAGGGUUCGUUCAGUCAUGGAGCAGUUUCUUCUCUUGGAUGAGCUCAAGAAGGAGGCUGGUCUCAUGACUCUCUUGUGACCAAUGGAAUAUGAUGGAAGUGAGGCUGUGUGACUUCCAAGGUGAGGCCAGCAAAGCCAUGCCUUCUGUCCGGUUCCUUGGGGACUCAAGCUCUACAGGAAGUCAGACUCCGUGAAAGAAGUAUGAUUAUGCCAAGACCACCAUGCCAGACAGGCCAUGAGUGCACACUUUAGUUGACAGCCCAGUUCAGCUGUCACUCAAUAGCCAACAUCACCUGCCAGCCAUGUGAAUGAGCCUUCAUGAAUGGCCAGCUCAGGAAGCCUUUGGAUGACACUUGACUCUGGCCCCAAAGAGACCUUAUCUUUCCAAACUUCUGACUCGGAAAUCAUGGUGGCUUUAAGCAGGUAAUUACUUUGUCACACAGCUAUAGCUGAAUACUACUCAAGCUGGAAAUACAGAUUAAAAAGCUGUUCUCUGCUCUCAGCUUAAUAACUAGAACUACAGAAAGACAGACUUAAAAUCAAAUAAAAUGAUUGUGACUUCCAGGGGACCAUGUACAGAGAUAGAGGGAGCAAAGAAGAAUGAAUCUGAAAGAGAAAAGUCAUACUGAGCACUUGAGCUGAGGUUUGCCAUACCCCAAGUCCAGGGGCAGCACCUGUAGAUGCAUCAACAACCCCUAAACAUUACACACAAUUCAAGAGAGGAUAAAGAGCCAAGAAAAGUGAGCAUGCUGUCAUGGACAAAGCAGCUACUACAUGGGGAAUCUACUAUACCAGGUAAAAGAAUGCUGAUUUAAUCUGGUCCCAGUGGAUGAGCCACCAGAGAAUUUGGAACAUGCUUAUCUGGGUAGUGUAAACAUCCAUUUCUUCAUAAAAAAAAGCAAAACAAAACAAAACAAAAAAACACCCAAAAAACCCAGCUAUAACUCUUUGCCAAUCAACUGAGUGGAAGAAGAACUGAAUUGCAACUCAAGCAGUUUCUAUUUAAGUCCUUGUUACUCACCCUGUGAUUGAGCAGAGAUUACUUAAGGCUGGUGCCCUCCCUGUAAACACCUGUCACUUCCCUGGUUUGCAGAGAUGCUGGGAGGUUAAUGAGAUCACAUAUAUGGAAUGUAUGCAAGUUUCUAAGAGAAAGAAACCAGAUACAUUCAAGAUACUAUUAUCAUUCCCCCAGCCUCCUGGGAGUCAGCUUUCUAGCAAACCCAAGGGUUCAGAAGCCUGAAACUUCUAAAUAAAGGAAAAAUAAAGAUAGGUAUUUGGCCCCAGAGAAAGUAGGAAGCUGAUUCGGAAAUGGCUGAAGAGCCAGAGAUAACACAAAACAGGAUACGGGCUGGUCAUGAAGGAAAUCCCCACACUCCUUGGAGGGAGCAACAAUAAAAGCCAAUCCAUUGUGUGUAGACAUCCAGAAGCAAGUGAUGCCAUGUGGAGAGAUGAGCAGGAAAGGAUGGAGUGAUAGCAAACUGGUGGGAAGUGGCAGAGAUCAGAGGAUGCUGGCAGGAAGUUUGAGAGCAGAGAGAGGCUGAGCUGGGUGUGGAAAAAUGGAAGUCAAGGAGGAGGGUUUGGAAUGGCAGGGUGGCAGCCAGCCUCUCCCAAGCUCAGAAGCUGGACAUUUUCGCAGAAUAACCUUUAGAUCAGGGGGUAGGAUCUUACUGUUUGAAAGUGCGGAUGCAGCAGACAUGUCUAAGCAGUGAGGUGAAAAACCCGAUGUUCUAGGAGGAGGCCACUGGUGUGGCUGCCUGGUGAUAGAAUUCAGUGUGUGUGUGUAGGAGGGGCUCAGAGGACAAGUUAGAAGCAGUUAGAGCUGGCCAGUGAGACUAAUGUGUGACAAGACAGUGGCUGUCUGGAGGGCCCUAUAGAUGCUCUUGCCAUGUGCUGUGUGCUAUGUGUGCUGUGCUAAGUCACUUCAGUUGUGUCCGACUCUCUGCAACCCCAUGGACUGUAGACUACCAGGCUCCUCUGUCUGUGGGAUUCCCCAGGCAAGAAUACUGGAGUGGGUUGUCAUGCCCUUCUCCAGGGGAUCUUCGAACCCACAUCUCUAUGUCUCCUGCAUUAGCAGGCAGAUUCUUUACCACUAUCACCAUCUGGGAAGCCCUACUCCUGCCAUGACCUGGUUUCAAACACCUGCCAGACUUAUAGCAGCAUUUCCAUUUGUCCCCACCUCUAAAACCUCCCGAGUCAGUCCAACACCCUUUGCAAAACAAACACCCCUUAAGGAAUCCGAAGAUUUUGUUGUAUACCUCUGCACCCAGCUAAAUGCACUGGACUGAAUAUGGAAAAGAGAACUGGACACAAACUUUGUGGGGGACUAUCCCUUGGGGGUGUGUCUCUUUCCCCUUCUUACUUGGAAAUCCUUGGCUGAUGGUUCUGGGACUGAAAACUCACUUGGACUCUGGCUGUGGUUUACCCCGGCAGUCUAGAUUUCAGAAGGCUCAUCUGAUCUUUGGAAAAUACUCCUCUGAUUACAUGCCUCCUUCCU